rnacentral:tRNA from 1 species
CCUCCUUACCAUUACGUCGAUAGACGCACUUGAUGCAGUGCCUACACAGAUUGUUUUGUUUAAAAACGAAGAACGACACAAGUUUAUGGGGCUAUAGCUCAGCUGGGAGAGCGCCUGAUUUGCAUUCAGGAGGUCAGCAGUUCGAUCCUGCUUAGCUCCACCAUCUACUUGAAUCUGAGCUUGAACAACGUUUAAGUGCAGUAUACUGAAGGCUUGUAGCUCGGAUGGUUGCAGCCCUGCCCUCGAAUAAAACCGGUGAAGUCACAACGCCGACCGGCUUGAAAAAUAAGCUUGUAGCUCAACUGGUUUAAAACGCACCCCUGAUAAGGGUGAAGUCGGGAAUUCAAGUCUGGCCAAGCCUACCAUUUCCUUGCUUUAA